GAUCAUGGCUCAGGAUGAACGCUGGCGGCGUGCUUAACACAUGCAAGUCGAACGAGGCUGCCGACGGAAGUUUCGGAUGGAAGACGGCAAGACCGAGUGGCGGACGGGUGAGUAACGCGUGGGGAACCUGCCCCAUUCCGGGGGAUACCAGUUGGAAACGACUGUUAAUACCGCAUAAGCGCACGAACGGACAUCCGUAUGUGUGAAAAAACUGAGGUGGAAUGGGAUGGCCCCGCGUCUGAUUAGCCAGUUGGCAGGGUAACGGCCUACCAAAGCGACGAUCAGUAGCCGGCCUGAGAGGGCGACCGGCCACAUUGGGACUGAGACACGGCCCAAACUCCUACGGGAGGCAGCAGUGGGGAAUAUUGCACAAUGGGGGAAACCCUGAUGCAGCGACGCCGCGUGAGUGAAGAAGUAUUUCGGUAUGUAAAGCUCUAUCAGCAGGGAAGAAGAUGACGGUACCUGCACAAGAAGCCCCGGCUAACUACGUGCCAGCCGCCGC
rnacentral:rRNA from 1 species